AUUGAACGCUGGCGGCAGGCCUAACACAUGCAAGUCGAGCGGAUGACGGGAGCUUGCUCCUUGAUUCAGCGGCGGACGGGUGAGUAAUGCCUAGGAAUCUGCCUGGUAGUGGGGGACAACGUUUCGAAAGGAACGCUAAUACCGCAUACGUCCUACGGGAGAAAGCAGGGGACCUUCGGGCCUUGCGCUAUCAGAUGAGCCUAGGUCGGAUUAGCUAGUUGGUGGGGUAAUGGCUCACCAAGGCGACGAUCCGUAAAUGGUCUGAGAGGAGGAUCAGUCGCACUGGAACUGAGACACGGUCCAGACUCCUACGGGAGGCAGCAGUGGGGAAUAUUGGACAAUGGGCGAAAGCCUGAUCCAGCCAUGCCGCGUGUGUGAAGAAGGUCUUCGGAUUGUAAAGCACUUUAAGUUGGGAGGAAGGGCAGUAAGUUAAUACCUUGCUGUUUUGACGUUACCGACAGAAUAAGCACCGGCUAACUCUGUGCCAGCAGCCGCCGUAAUAC
rnacentral:rRNA from 1 species